CAUUCAAUCUGAAGUUCUACAGUAUAUUCCUGAUCUACUGGUUGGAAAUUCUACCUAAUCAAAAAGAUUUCUAAAGAAAGAAAAUAGUCAUAUCUGCCUAAUUCAAUAUUUAAAAUUUCUCAUACUCAUCUAGAUUCUGAACUAGAAAGAUUCCCAGGUAAAGAAGACAUGAGCGAUCUGCUGUAACUACCUAUGACUAAUGUAAAUAUCUGCAUGAGGUACUUCAAGGCACCAUGGAAAGAUUUCGGUGAUGUCAAUUUAGACACAAUUCCUAAUCAUCAAGAUGUGAAACAGAUUUCAAUGUCUGUUAUCUGAAAUACAGAAAACUGACUUGGCCUGGGAUACUAAGACACAGAAGAAUGCUACCAUGUUAUGAUAAUUGGAGGCAAACGCCAGUUAUUUUUUUUUAA